GGGUGGAGGGGGCGGAGCUGCUGCCUUUAUGGCAGGGCAGCAGGGGGUGAAGUGGAGCCAGGACAGGUGGCCCGAAUGAGGCAAUUAGGCCAGCCAUGACCCAUCACACCGAAGGGCAUAAAGCUGUGAAGGAGUUGGCCGAGAGGUAACAAUGUGGAUCGUCUGCUGGUGAGCGGAGGGAGGUUUUGUCUUGCUGGUGGAGUGUCUAAUGGCUGCUGUGCAUUAGUCAGCAAGUGGUAACAGUGCCUGAGGAGAUACAUUAAGGGAAACAGAAGGCUCCUCUUCCUCAUCUCUAACGUGUUUGGCUGCAGACACCACAAGCUGAAAUUCUGAGUGACAAGCAUCAUUUCUAAGACCACAAUUUCACUUGGAAAAGUGGAGCAGAGUUGGAGGAGGAGAUGGAGGAAGAGAGAUUAAACAACUCAGAAAACAGAUGGAGAAAUGGAAUAGAAUCACUACUGGUUUAACUUUAAAAUCACCUCAGUGGAUAUUUUCAACAUUGGACAGCAAGGCAUACAUUUUCAUAAAAUACAAAGGAAAAAGUAAUACGAAAGCAAAGAAACAUCAAUCUUCUGCAACAGAUGAAAGAUACAAGAAUUCUUCCACUGCUUGCCUGAGAAGUGGAGUGAAGCAUUUGUGGAUUCUGUGCCAUGUUAAUAUGGACAGGUAGCUUCAGUGGAAUACUUCCCAUUGUGAAGAUGUAUCUACAGGACUUCUGGAUGAGAGUAUUCAUCUUGACCAAUCUUUAGCAUGUACACAUUAUGCAUUGCCCAAGUGCAACUUUCUCAUUUGAUCCCAGUUUCCAAAUGACUUUCCAUUAUCUCAAGCUCUAAUAGAUUACUUAGUGUAGUCUGUAUGUAUAAGUCUAUAUGUCUAGUAUUAGAUAUGGAGGUUGGUGGCCCUGCAUGCGGCAGGGGGACUGGAGCUUGAUGAUCCUUGAGGUCCCUUCCAACACAAGCCAUUCUAUGAAUCUGUGAAAAAAGUAAACAUAAUGCACCUGAAUUGCCACUCCCAAGAAAAGCAACAUGACUCCAGCUUAAGGGCAUAUACCGGCUCAUGUGGGAGCAUGUUUAAAACGGGUUGGGAAAUGUUGAAUAUUUGGUUUUGAUUGAAAAAAAAUAUUUUGACAUUUCGGAACUGAUUUUUUUUCUAAACGUGUUGGUCUUUGGAUGAAAAUAGUUUUAAAAAUAUCAGCUUCUUUCCCUAUGAAGGAAAUUUCAUCUGUCAACUGGCUGUACCAUCCAAAACUAGUCAAAGGCAGGAAUAAGUAGAAAACACAUGUCCUAAAUAGGUACCUCUCUGUCUAUUGCUGAGCCCAAGUUUAGCUCAAAUGGAAUCGUUUGGAUUGGGUUGCUUGUCUUUUUUUAAUGGCCUAAUUUUGUAGCAGUAGCCAUGACUAUCAUAACAACCAAAACAAGAAAAACAUGGAAUUGGACUUAGAGUUAGUACAUUUUGUCUGCCUGUGAAGACAAAGUCCAACUCAAACCUCUCACUCCUAAACACAUGCUAAUUUUUUAGAUUUGACUGGAUUUUAGGUUUUAAGAUGCACAGCUUCUAAUGUAAAUCUCUCUCUGCUACCAUUAACUACAUCAGAUACAGUUAUGAGGAAUGAUCUGUAGGCUUACAUAUUUCUCUAACAGGUUCUAUACCACCUUGGAGUUAUUCAGUUACAAAGAGAGAGAAAGAAACUGUUUUUAUGCCAAAUCCUUUGUCCUCCGUAAUUUUGGGAGCAUGUGGGAUUUCUGCCUGGCAGGUCAUUCUGCUCUGAUUUCUAAGGUUCCUUCAUUAGGAGGUGUAGUGGAAAUGCUAAGUCAUGGCCUGAAACAGUGAUUGAGCACCUGGUGGGAAGGCAGGGCCAACCCAGGAGAGCUCAGCUGCAUGCAAUCCACCUGAGUGAUUGGAAGGGUUGCAGUCAGGAUCCACCCCUUCCCAGACCUCAUUUAAGGGUUGGCAGUAGAGGCAAAGGUAUUGUGCUGGAGAUCCCUGCCUACUGGAGGUCUUCUAAAGGUAAGCAGUUUUUCUUCUUCUGUUUCUGUGUUCCCACCUGCUGUAUUUGGGCUUGUUCUCAUUUGCUGCAGCCUAGGAUAGUGUUACUCUGCUACUAUUGCUAUACUUUCCAUCGUGUUAUAGGUGAGAUAGCUGAUAGUCGCUCAGUCUGAAAGAGACCUGCUCAUCAUUUCAAUCCAGUGGCAAUGGGUUCCCCUGAGUGUCUCCCUUCUUCCACACAUUUCUUCCUCUUUAUGUUCCUAAUGCUAGGACCUGCAAAGUAUCCUGCAUGAGUUUUGCUAUCAACAUCUCUGUUCGGUAGCUACAGCAGAGGAUUUCUCUUCCAGCCGUACACAGAUACUUGUAUUCCCUGUUUCUUAAUAUAUUGAAAAGUAAAGGUAUUUGACUCAGCAUCCUGGCUGAUCUUUACUUACCUCCAUGAAACACUUUUUCUGCCUAAUAAGUAAAAACUCAGAGAAUGUGAAGGACAACCUGCAAAAGAGAGUAGGCAUGGCAUGACUACAUGCAACUGUGAAAGGAAACUUGCAAUAUUUAUUGUCCCCUUUCUUAAGGGUCAGUUUUUGGACCUGGGUUCAUCUAGCUUUAGAAUUUCCCACCACUGCAACACACCAUCUACUUGGAAAGGGGCUAAUCACAGGGUCUUUUUCUAGGUAGUUUGUAGUUACCUCUGUUGGUGUUAAAUUAAUCCCUUCACCUUUCUUCUCUGUUAGGCCUCUCUGCGUUCUUCCACUUACUUAAAAAGCAAAGUAUCUUUGAAUAAAGCUUUCUUAUUUUACAGUAAUUUUGGUGUUAGCACUGGGGAAAUACUUUAGGCACAAGAUUAUUGCCAACAAUCCUUUAUUUUCUGAAAGAAAAAUAGGAUGUUUCUUGGCAACACCAUCUGUGAGAAAUAGGAUCCUCCCAAACAUUUGGGAAAAAUCCCUACUGCCAGCUCCCACACAUCACAUUAUUUUUCCCUUGGUAUUAUGUUGUCUCUUAAAACAAUGACUUACGUGAAGAAGUAGAAACCAACUGAGUCAAAUGCAGACUUUACUUAUAUACUCAUCAUCUGGAGUGAGAGCCACAUCACUGCCAUGGUGUCAGGAAGCCGGAGGCACACAUGUUGGUCCCUUGUACAGGGCCCUAGAGCAAUCUAGGUAUCAAAUGUGUAUGUAAUAGCCUGGUAUUGCUGGUUUAUUGCUAUCUGUGAAAAGCUAUAGGAAGAGGAUUUGUUACCUGGAGCACAACUUCCCAAAUCUCAGUCAGGACUGAGACUGUUCAUGAUUCAGAUCAACAUGUGGGAAGAAAUUAGCUGUCUUUACUAUCAGUGUGUUCAGCCUGUAGUAUAAUACGGCACUGAAUGUGGAGUUACAAGACCUUGUUUCAAGAAAAACUGUUGUGCAAUGUUUCUGGACAUACUGUUUGAUCCUGUUUUCUUUCACUCUGUGCAUGCGUCAUUUCUUUGUCUCCAGUGAACAGCAAAUUGAGUCAUGACUUUGAAUCUUGAAACAGGUGAACUAACUGGGAGGGAGUGAGAUGAUGGACUCAGACACAGCUUGUUUCCCCCAGCUCUCUCCCCUCCAGCACAAAUCAGCUUAAAAGAAGAAAGGAGAGGGAAAAAAAAAAAAAAAAAAAAAAAAAGGAACAAUAAAGUGACUGAGAUGGCAGGGAGUAGAAAGACCUGAUUUUCAUUGAAAUCACUUUCAAAGCAGAAUCUGAAGCAAAAAAAUGGAAACUAUUUGGAAGAAGGGCAAUGUUUUUUUCAGCUAUCCAAAUAGGAAACUGGGAGAGAUGGAGUCUGAACUUCUUGUUGGAAAUGCAUCUUUUGUGAGGGAUAAGAGAGAAUUGUAAGGGACAAAUUGGAGAUGUGAUAGAUUACUUGUGGUUGUGACUCUUCAGCAGAGAAAAGGAAAGGAUGUUAUUAAUUACAGGUUUAUGGAAAAAUCUCAUAAAAGAAAGAAAAGAGUGGUAAACAUGAACAUGACUCAGGGGAUUUAGAAUGUAAUGCAAACCUAAAAAUGUGACCAGUGACAACCAGGCAGACAAACUAUAAAUACAAGUAGUCAUGAGAAGCUGGCCUGGUAUAAAUGACCUUAGGAAUUUGAGGCAGAAAAGCACAUUACAUUCGAGGUGUUGAACCCAAGUCCUAAAUAAAUGCUUAAAACACUCCCAGGAUUGGAUAUUUCUAUUACUGUUUUCACAAAUUUCCUUUCCAGAGAAGUCUGUUCUGGACAGCACGUCUGACCUCCUGUGUUACUCAGGUCAUGUAGUUUCUCCCAGCCAUUUCUUUAUCAAGCCUCAAACCCUGAAGUUGAAUGAGAGCCUAUCUUUCAAAGGGCAGUAUGUCUUGCAUAGAAGAUUCCAGCUGGUAGUUCACAGAGCUCUGGUCAGUUGCGUUUUCCAUUUAAAAGCCCAUCCUGUUUCUGCGUUGAACCUUGUAGCUUUCAGCUUCUAGCUAUUGGGCCUUCACAUGUCUUUGAUUACCAGAUUUAAGUGCUUUAAGGGUUAUUAUUAUUCCCAGCUCUGCAAAUUCCAUCCAUAGGGUAUAAAUGCCAAUGCAGGCAGGAUUAUGAGAGGAGAAACCUCCUCUGUUAACACAGAUGUUGCCCACUGUUUGGAACUUUGCAAAAUCUGGUUCAACAGGCAAAGUGAGCUGAAGAAGAUGAUGGUUUCAAGUAUAAAACUGUAGCAAAUGCAAGUAUUUUCCCUACUUAAGUAGGACUCUCAUGAGAAGAUAGACGUUCCUGAAGUGAGAAAGAUCUUUCCUGUAUACUUAUCAACACAGAGCUGAGUGGAAUUAUUUAAGAUCAACAAUCAACUAGGCAGGAAACUUGAUUACACUGACCAGCUGUACCAAGCUCCUUGCUGCUUUCAUCUUGUGGGGAAAAACCCCCCUCAACUUAUUUAUUUUUAAAAGUGAGAGAAGGAAAGAUUGUCCAGCCCUAAACACUUUGUUUUCAGACUUACUGAAGAAUUCAGUGGUAGGUGCAUUUGGCAUGAGUUUGGAUUCAAACUUAUUUUACGUAAUAUCAGAGUAUUCUCAUGAAACCAGAAGUUAGCCUAUCAAAUUGUAGCACAGAAUAAUUUAAGAUUCCUGUCAAGCUCAUUUGAAAGUAUUUCUUUUUCUGUUCUUUGUGCGAGAUUCCCAUUUGUACCUCUCUGAAACUGAAUAUAAAGAACUCCAUAUAAUCUAUGGUUUACAUUAUUAUUGCACCAGUUUUGAGAAUAAAUCUAUUUUUAAGAUGUACGGUAAAGAACGUACCACAUGUCAAAGAAUUGCUGUUGCACAUUCUCCCUCUGAGCAGCACUACGGCUCUCCUGCCUGUAUUGCAAACAGUUUUUUUUUUAAUAAAAAAAAAAAGCAGGCCUCUUUUCCCAGGCUCCUGUUAGAUGUGAGCUGUCUUCCUGAGAGCUGUAUUUUCAUCUUGCUAUAUUUAAAAAAAAAAAAAAAAGUCUAGUUUUAGCAUAAAGUAAUUACCACAAGCUUAUUAGUGUGCCUGACUCAGGCACUGCAGGCUGGGCAGAUGUCUAAUGUGCACACAUUCUUUGACAAACUUUUAUACAGCCACAGAUGAGUCUGGGGAAAAAAAAAAAAAAGCAUAGCAAUGAAUUCCUGCAGAUGGAUUAAAAAUUAAAAACAAUGAUACCUUCAGAAGAAGACAGCAUGAGGUGUGUAUUAACUCUUUUUUAUCUUCACUACUGAUAGUAAGUGUUAUCUAGAUCUAAGAAUAACAGUCUGUGAAAUGUCUCACACUCCUGAAAGGGGGAUAGCUUUGAAGUUUCUUCUCAUCACUAAAUAGGAUUUCUGCUCUGUGGAGCUCUUUUUUGGAAGGUGCCUCCUGCAGCAGCUUUUCAUUAUUCACCCUUCAGUACCCCCUGCAAGACCUUCCCAUCUCAGCACGCUCCCUAUUGUCCAUAUUCACAUAGAAUGCAAAGGAGGACAGGGAGAAAGCCAUCCACAGCUGAAGGCAACCUGUCCAAGUUCUGCACCAGUAACAUCACACCGAUCAGUGGGGACGUUGCUCUCUAAAGGAUACAGGAUGACAGGAGAAGGGCAAUAACACUUUUUGCAUCCCUGGAUUAUGGGUCCUUUAUUGAUUAUAGCCACAAAUGUAGAUGAAGUAUUAUGAAGCUUGUUUACAGUGUUAUCUGCUUGCCUGCCAGUCAUUGAUUCUCUCUGUUAACAUCUUCACUUCUAAGUACAAGAACAGAAGAAGAGCCUUCAGAUGUUCCAUCUUUAGAUAUCUGCACCUUUAUUGCUGUUAAAACUCAAGUAGGACCUAUUUCAAUAUUUCAAGAAACUGUUCUGGUGACAAAGUUACAGCUUCUGGAAUGGUUGUUUUUACAUACUUAGCAUCAAGAGCAAUCACAGUUUUGAUGAACUUGCCCAGGUUCCUCUUCUGACUGUAUGGGCAAGCUCAGGAUGAGAGAUUUCAGUUCAUACUUUCUUUUUUUGGUCUUUCUGCAAAAGGAUCCUGGAAAGCAGUAGCUUGUUUGCUUUCUACCUUCUGUUGUAUAUAUUGUAAGCAAAAAAAAUAAUAAUAAUUAAAAGACAAGAUCUCCCUUACCAAGAUUUCUCUUCUUUGUUAUGCAAAUAGCAGGCAGACUUUCACUCCUGAUUCUUCUUUCUAAAGGCUUUCUGGUUCAAUGAAUCUGAAUUUGGUUUAUUCCACCAGUGCAUUUUGGAUGUUUACUAAACCAGUGUACGUGCUCGGUCAGACUAGGCAUUUUUCUGUUGGUGGUUUGAGGAAUAGCUGCUACCUUUUUAUUUCCUCUCCCUUUUUUGGGAGGAGAAAUUAAAUUUCUGUUUUUGUACUGACUGGAUUAACCAGAUGGUCUAAACAAAUUCAGACUGUGCGGCCUGAUUGGAAGCUGUCAGACAAAAUCCAGGUCAGAAGCUACAGUUCACUGCUCAUAGAGAUAGCACUCUCUAGGAGUAUGAGACAAGACUAUGGCAGUGUCUUGUCAUCAUCUUAUUGUUGGGGUGGAACCCUCAUAUUCUUGUUGCUUCUUUUUUCCAUACAGACAGGAUUUGUGGGAAAGGUGACAGAUAAUUGUUUUUAUUAUUAUUCUAGAUCAUGCUUACAGCUUCUUUUCCAGUCAGACAAUAAAUAAAUGCAUUUUCUGGUGUCUCCUUUAGGGGCGUUUUUUCAUUGUGAUUCUGUUUUUCAAACUAGGAGGAUGAUGUGAAUCCUUCAGCUCUUAGUGAUGCCUGGUAUAUGCCCACUAGAGGUCUUUUCUCCCUUCUGCAGUAAUUUGUGCCUUACAUAUGAUGCUAUGGCAAUUUCAUUCAGGUCAGAAAUGAGCUUGAAUGCAUUCACCUUAGACGCACUGCUGAUGAAAGCUUUGUUGAAACUUAUGGUCUUUAAAACAGCUCCAUCUUGAUGAAACAGGAUGUUUUGAUGAAACUUUAAUUCAUUGACAGCACUUUCAAAUGUAAAUAGCAAACCAAAUUAUCUGGCUUCAGAAAACAUUUGGCAGAGAGAACAAACAUUUUUAGUGUCACCUGAGAUAUUUUAAUAAAAGGUAGAAUAACAAGGAUAGUAGUUGAUAAACUCAGAUUUGGAAUUAUUCCCAACACUUUCCAGUAAGGAAGCCUCAAGUUUUUGAAACAUUAUGUAGCUCAUAAGCACUCACUGGAUGUUCUGUUGGGUUUCAUUUAAUCCCUGCUUAGAUGUAUUCCUCUCCGUUUAGUAGAAAUACAGAGCAAAAACAAGCAAGGGAUGUGCUAUGAUUACCAAUUUAAUCCAAGGGUUUUAUUUCCAUCUUGUUUUCACUCUUUCUUAGAUACAUGCAUUGUCUCAGCUUAGACAAGUGAGUACUUCAGUGAGAGGGCCUUCAUUUUGUUAUAUUUGGUAUCUGUUCUACGUAUUCAUUUGUGACAGACACUACAGUAUGUCAUAAAUACUCAUUACUCAUAAUUUUGUUUGCUAUAUUUUGCUCCAUCAUCUGCUCUCUUUUUCCUAGUUAAAAUAUUAAUUAUACUUCUGGAGUUGCUAGGUACUCCUGAUGUUAGCCUCUGGGCCUGUUGUGUUACACAUUAAACAAACAUACAGUAAAAAAAAGUUUCAGAAUUCAGGGUUGGAUGCAAGGGAAGCAAUGUAUCUGCAAUGUUGGAUGCAAUGUAUCUGGGGAUGUAUUGAAUUAUAAGAACAGUAAGACAAAUUAAUCUGUCCUUACACAUCUGUGUGUUUUAGAUUACAGUUCCUAAAUACUUCAUGCUAUAGCAAGAAGCUCAAUGCUACAAAGCUAGAUUUCUUCAAAUGUAUUUGAAUUGUUUCUCAGUGUUUUCACUGUAAAGCUUACAUUUAAUUCUCAUAGCAUUUUUUUAAGUAUAGGUUAUCCUCUAGGUCUCUAAGUUCCUCAUCAAAACAAACAACUUCACUUUUUAGUCAUGUAUAGGAAUGUGAAGGAAAUGCACCACAUUAAUGAUGCAUAUUAUAGGAAAUCUACAAAAUCUUUGCAUAUUGUAUAAAACUCCUGACUUUCUGUUAGCUAAUAUGUAAAGAAGGCUGGAGGGACUGAAUGUAAGGCAUUGUGUGGGCAAAACAGUGCUAGAACAAAAAAAAAUAGUGCUAGAGGAAAAAAAAUACAUAGAAUUGCUAAGGCUGGAAAAGACCCACAGGAUCAUCCAGUCCAAACAUUUGUGUCAUAUCAUUCAAUGUGAUAUGGUCUGUGCUGGAACAGUUUGUUUUCUACUACCUGUUUUGACUUCGUUUCUAGUACCUGUCAAUAUUGUCCAUGCUUAGGGCCAAUGUAUGUACAACUGUAUGUAGAACAAAGUAUGCUGACUGUUGCACAUAAUGCAACAUAAUUCAUAGUCUCAGGUAUGUCACAACAGGUGAUUUGAAGAUGUGUAUGUAUACAUAUAUACUUAUUCUAGAUUGGAUGUAAAUUCUAGUUGUUAUUGAAGAUAUAUUUUUAAUAUUUUUUAAUAAUUGAAUAUGUGGAAGUGGACAGAGGAAAUCUAACACAAAUGCCAGCAAUACAGAGUAGGAAGAGAAAAUAAACAACCAGAUAACUCUAAUAUAUGAGCAAAACAACACUAGAAACAUGACUCUGAUUGGGUAAAAGCAGGUUGAGAGAGCCUUUUGUUAUUUGAUUCCCUCUAUGUUUGGAUUAACACAACUAUAAUUUCAGAGUGGCCAGAACUGUUGGGUAGUAAUGAAAGAGAUGGUUAGCUAUUCUGCUUAAAGAAAGCAGUGACAACAUAUAACUGGUUGUUAAAUGUGCUGUGUUGAUAAUAACUUUAUCAUUUAGUAGAUUUAAUAUUCAGAGAACUAUAGAAUGGUUUGGAUUGGAAAUGGACAACCCCCCCUGCAAUAGGCAGGGACAUCUCCCUCUAGACCAGGGUUGCUCCAGCCUGGCUUUGAAUGCUUUCAGGGAGGGAGCGUUCACAACCUCACUGGGCAACCUGUUCCAGUGUCUCAGCACCCUUACAGUAAAGAAUUACUUACAGUAAAUAAUUACCUACCCUCUUCCAGUUUAAAGAGGCAUCCCUUCGCCCUGUUGCUACCUGCCCUUUAUAUUUUUUUUCCUGCGAUACUUCUCCUCUGAAGAAAAUUCUGACUAAUUAAUUUUAGUGUCUGAAAAGUUUUGUUUUCUAACCUGAAAGAAGACCUUUUUAUGAUUUCUCAGAAACUCAUACACAGCUUGCACUUUCUACAGAGAUGUACAGACAAUGCUGUAACCUCAGGGCUUAUUUUACUUUUGCAAUUCCAUUCUUUAGUCAGUUUUGUAAAUAUAUAGAAAUUUGAAUCCUUUUUCAAAUGCUACAACAUGAACUUUAGUCACAGAGAACUUUGUUUGCUGAGAAAAAUAAAGCAGAUUGCCAAUCUAUAAGAUUUCUGGCAAAAGCUUAAAAAAAAUGCUGACAUUUUAAAAAUAAAUUAAGGAAGAAAUUAUCUAAUUGAGGUGAGAUUUAUAAUUUAAAAAAAAGAACCUCCAACCAUGCCUCCAGGAGGUAGCUACCAAAUUUGGUCACUGGAUGCAUAUAAUUACAUCACUAGAAAUCCGUAACAUGAGACCUCAGAGAGUUCCGGGGACAGAAGAGGGCCGAGUUCAAUCCGGGUGUUGUCCAUAUAUGGCUGCAAAGGACAGCCGGUGUCUGCGUGGAUGCAGCACAGCCGUCAGCACAGAACUGGGACAAAACAGAGCCACGACAGCGUGCUCCCGCCAGCAGCCUUCUUCUGGGAAUUUCAGGAAUGCCCUCAGCACUUAUUCAGCAGGAAGCUAUCGGUUAAAGGCACACCGCCACGGUUCUGUGCGUUUCUUUACUGAAGAAGCUUGUGUCCCUUUCCAAUAGAUGUUACUUAGUUACAGGGGUAGAUGAUCAUGUGUUUUCUGUAACAUUUAAUCUUUUUAAAUAUGAUCUGCUCUUUCCUACCUAUUUUUACUGCCCACUAUUUACAUAUAAACUAGUGUUGCCUUUUACUUCCCACAUAGUGAAUAUCUAUUUCUGAAACAAAUUUAAUAUGUUUGAGUCUAAUGAGUCAUGAUGAAUAACCAUUUCUUAGUCAUGAGGAAUGCCACAUUAGAAUGAUAAGAAAUGCUUCUGAGAGCAAUUCACAGUGUAUUUCAGAAUGUGAAUGAUUUGACAGAUAAUGAAAAAAAAUAAGUCUGUACCUUGAACAAAUGUUGAUAUUUGUGAAUGGAUAGAUUACUUUACCAAGAGAAGCUGAAGACUUCAAGGCCAUCUGUGAAUGGACUGUCCAGCCUUAUGUGCCCGAAGAAUCAUAAGUACGUUUUGAGUGUUCUACAAAAGCACAUUCCUCAGGUAUUGCAGACCAUCAAGAUGCACUGGGGAACUGGUAUUUCUGUCUACUUCAUUAUGAGAAUAGAAGCCAGGAUACAUCACCUUUGCCUUCCCUCUUUCCAUUUGUAGAGAUUUAUGCAGCUCAUCAUUUGUUAACGGAAUGGAACUGUAUGGCAAAUGGAACGGAACAUGCUAGCUCUACAGGAAACAAAAGACUUUUCAUGUGAGAACUGCAGCAAGGAAUUUGUCAGAGACUGGGAGAGGAAGGCAAAAGAAGCUAAUAUUGAAAUGCAAAUUAUUAUAAGUGAAAGGAUUUUCUCCAUCUUCACUUAGUUUCUGCAGUUUAUAUCCUUAAAAUAAAAAGGAGUAGCUGAAAAUAUGUUACAAUAAAACCCAGUAACUUUGUCUCUUUCAUAUUCUCAGUCUUUGUUUUAUUUGGAGACUGGUACACAGAAUUUUAUCUAUAAAUCAAGCUCUUGGAAAUAAACUUGCUGAAAUCGCAAUCAGAAUCAAAUAUUUAUGUGAUGAUUUUUGUGAGAAGUUCAGUAAACGCGCUGUCAUCAGAUAAAUUCUCAAGAAAACAUAUCAGAUUCUUUUUUCCUCAGCUUGGAAAAAUAUGAUUCAGUCAUGUACAAGAAAAUUAUGCUUAACAAAACAGCUGCCUGAGCAGGCCUGCACAGCAGCACCUCCACCACACUGCCCAGUUUUUUUUCCCCCCAAUUGUUAUGGUGUAACAGUAUUCUUUUGACAUUUCCAACAGCUGACACUUGGACACUCACAGACCUGCUCUGCUGUCCAUCCCCAAACUGAUCCUGUUUGCUCCAUUUCCCCCUUGCUGUUGGUCUCCCUUCCCUGUGCUUUGAGCCAUUUAAGGCUGAUGGCUUCUCGUUCGUCAUCACAAUCACCUUGCCUUCUCCUAACAGAAAAUACAGAUCAUAUAAUCAUAUACCCAUACUCUUCUUUAUCUCACCUUGUUUACACUCAUGCUUUUCACUCUAACUUUAUUGUUAAGCUCAGCAAAUCUAUAUAAGAGAGGUGCAGGAAACCACAUCAUAUUUAUUCUUGUGCUCCCCUUGGUUAUUUCACAAAUUCACUCCUUUGAAAGUCAGAAGCAUUUUAAUUUCCAGUCUAAGUUCCCAUUUUAUUCAUGUUGUAUAUCUCUUUGUUCCUUAUGGAACAAUAUCCUUAUUCUGGAUAACAUUCAAAAAAAAAAAAAUUACUUUUGUUUCUCUAAAUUCCACAAAAUGUGUAAUUUUCUUCCAGACCUCUUCUUUUCCCCAAACAAAAGGUUGAGAACUGUACACAUUUUUUCAUUAUUUCAUUUUUUCAUAUUUUUUCUACCAGUACUGAUUACAAAGGCAUUCAUACAUAAUGUUGAAAAUGCCUCUCCUAAGACAUCCUCAGACUGCCUACACAUUUGACUUCUUUCUUCCACCUGGAGAUUUAGUCAUCCACUGACUUAUUAAUACAAAUAAUUUUUUUCAACUUCUUGAAUUUGCUUGAACUUUAUCCCAGACCACUUGUUUAGGCAUUUCAAUGCAGGCUACAGCAGUUCAGCUUACAUUUAUUUAUUUCUAACUAGUGGGCCUUGUAUGGGAAAGCUGAGGGCCCAUUACUUUCUGUUAGUCAUGAGAUCCCUGUGGAUUUUAUUAAUAAA
ensembl:lncRNA